GCCCUUUGUGACGCGGGGGCCACGUCGUGCCCAGAGGCCAUUGUGACACCAGGGGUGGGGGGCACUGAAGGGGUGCAGAGCCCUGGGGUGUCCCCUGUGCAGAGAGCACCUCGCUCAGGAGGCAGCAGUUCCCUGAGAGUCUCUGAGGGAGAGGACAAUGGAGAUGCUCAAGGAGAGGGUGAACCCCAACCCCCAACCUCACAAUAUCCUGUCACAGUGGGAAGCUGAGGAAAUCCAAGAGCUGUCCCAAUGGGAAGAUGUGGAAUAUGAGGACCUGUCCCCAUGGGGAUUUGAGAGAUACCUAGAAGCAUUGCAAUGGGGAGAGGAAAGAGUCUAUGAGCUGUUCCAAUGGGAAUUUGAGAGGUACCAAGAAGCAUUGCAAUGGGGAGAGGAAAAAGUCCAAGAGCUGCCCCAAUGCGACAACCAAAGAAUCCAAGAGCUGUCCCAGUCGGAAGGUGAGACAGUCCAAGAACUGUCCCCAGAGGUAGAUGUGAAAGUCCAAGAGCUGUCCCAAUGGGAAGGCAAGAGAGACAAAGAGCUGUCCCAAGCAGAAGAUGACAGGGACAAAGCGCUUUGCCAAUGGGAAGGCUCCGUGGAGCAAGAGCUGUCCGAAGGGGAAGUGAGAGUAGACCCAGAGUUGUCUGAAGGGGAAGUCAGAGCCAGAGGAGACCCACUGCUGUCCCAAGAGGGAGACAACAUUUACCAAGAGCUGUUGCAGGAGAACUGGGAACACAUCCCAAACCACACCACCUGGGUCAACCCCAAGUACCCAGAGCUCCUGCAGAACCCUCACCCUGCUCCCCAGGGGUCGGCACAGGCAGCAGCUUCUCCUGCCUCGUGGAAGCGGAUAAAGGCAGCAGGGGCAGAGAGCCCGGGCCCUGCCCCACACAGCCCCUGCUGCCCUCCCAGCCCCUCACCUCACUGUCAGGAGGGGGCUGUGGGGGAGACAGAGCUGCCAAGGCCACAGAUUGAGGAGUGGUCCUUCGCCAAGGAGGAGAAACUGUGGAAAUACAUCACCAUCCGCACCAUCUGGGUCAACCCCAAGUACCCACAGCUCCUGCAGGACCCUCACCCUGCUCCCCAGGAGUCAGCACAGGCAGCAGCUUCUCCUGGCUCCAGAGAGCAUGUGCCAGAGGCAGACACAGAGAGCCAGGUCCCCAGG
rnacentral:lncRNA from 1 species